rnacentral:rRNA from 1 species
UACGGAGGAUCCAAGCGUUAUCCGGAAUCAUUGGGUUUAAAGGGUCCGUAGGCGGUUUAGUAAGUCAGUGGUGAAAGUCCAUCGCUCAACGGUGGAACGGCCAUUGAUACUGCUAGACUUGAAUUAUUAGGAAGUAACUAGAAUAUGUAGUGUAGCGGUGAAAUGCUUAGAGAUUACAUGGAAUACCAAUUGCGAAGGCAGGUUACUACUAAUGGAUUGACGCUGAUGGACGAAAGCGUGGGUAGCGAACAGG